rnacentral:rRNA from 1 species
UACAUGUGGGGCAAGCGUUGUUCGGAAUUACUGGGCAUAAAGGGUGCGUAGGCGGCUUGUUAAGUCAGGGGUGAAAUCCCACGGCCCAACCGUGGAACUGCCUUUGAUACUGGCGAGCUCGAGUGCGUGAGGGGUAACCGGAACGAGCAGUGUAGCGGUGAAAUGCGUAGAUAUUGCUCGGAAGGCCAACGGCGAAGGCAGGUUACUGGUACGCAACUGACGCUGAGGCACGAAAGCGUGGGGAGCAAACAGG